rnacentral:lncRNA from 1 species
GAAAAUAGCAAUCAAAUCACAAUUUAUUUUCUUUCCUUCUACAUCCCAAUUUGAAUUCGAAUUCAAAUUUUUUUAUCUCAAACAGGACAAAAGAGGUAUUUUGAUUUUUUUUAAACUCUAGUACAAUAUUUAACUCACGUUUAAUCCAAGUUAACUUAACGGGUGGUAAUUGCAGAGGUAUUUUGGAAUAAUGGAGGAACAUAUGAGGGAUAUAUUAGGAAGAAAAAAAAGCAAAAAUAAAUGAGAUAUUUUUAAAGUUUUGAAAGAUAUAUAGGCAAUUAUUCCUAUAUUUA